AGCGAACGCUGGCGGCAGGCUUAACACAUGCAAGUCGAACGGGCGUAGCAAUACGUCAGUGGCAGACGGGUGAGUAACGCGUGGGAACGUACCUUUUGGUUCGGAACAACCCAGGGAAACUUGGGCUAAUACCGGAUAAGCCCUUACGGGGAAAGGAUUUAUCGCCGAAAGAUCGGCCCGCGUCUGAUUAGCUAGUUGGUGUGGUAACGGCGCACCAAGGCGACGAUCAGUAGCUGGUCUGAGAGGAUGAUCAGCCACAUUGGGACUGAGACACGGCCCAAACUACCUACGGGAGGGCAGCAGUGGGGAAGUAUUGGACAAUGGGCGGCAAGCCUGAUCCAGCCAUGCCGCGUGAGUGAUGAAGGCCCUAGGGUUGUAAGCUCUUUUGUGCGGGAAGAUAAUGACGGUACCGCAAGAAUAA
rnacentral:rRNA from 1 species